AUGCCGAACUUCUGUGCUGCCCCCAACUGCACGCGGAAGAGCACGCAGUCCGACCUGGCCUUCUUCAGGUUCCCGCGGGAUCCGGCCAGAUGCCAGAAGUGGGUGGAGAAUUGUAGGAGAGCUGACUUAGAAGAUAAAACACCCGAUCAGCUUAAUAAACAUUAUCGGUUAUGUGCCAAACACUUUGAGACCUCUAUGAUCUGUAGAACUAGUCCUUAUCGGACAGUUCUUCGAGAUAAUGCUAUACCAACAAUAUUUGAUCUUACCAGUCAUCUGAACAAUCCACAUAGUAGACACAGAAAACGAAUAAAAGAAUUGAGUGAAGAUGAAAUCAGGACACUGAAACAGAAAAAAAUUGAUGAAACUUCUGAACAACAGCAAACACAUAAAGAAACAAACAACAGCAAUGUUCAGAACCUCAGUGCAAAAGAAGGUGGUGAAGAACAGGAUGAAGACAUUUUGCCUUUAACUCUUGAAGAAAAGGAAAACAAAGAAUACCUAAAAUCUUUAUUUGAAAUUUUGAUUCUUAUGGGAAAGCAGAACAUACCUCUGG